CUUCCUUUCCCUCAUUCGUGGGAGGAGGCUCUAUGGCUUGGUCUGGCUCUCAGGCCAGUGGCCCCGCUCAGGACUGGCAGUCAUCGGCCGAGGGAACAUUUUCCAGAGUACAGCUGAGGGACAGAACGUCUCCACGAGAUGGGCUGGGAUGGGCAGGGCUCUGGAAAGGCCCCUGCUUGUUCUGGGAGGUGUUCAGGAUGCUGAGGCUUUGGAAAUCCAUGGUGGCUGUUCAUGACUGUUCCCAGCUUUGGAAGGCGGAAUGAACGGGUGCCCGUUUCUUUAGGUUCACUGGCAAAGGUGAAGCCCAGUGCUGCUGACCUGGGACCAGGCCCUCUGUGGGGCCUGGGGAGGGUACUGGGCGUUGAAGGGGAGCACGGUGUAAAGGGCCGGACUCCAGAGUCAUGAGAUGCUGUUCACGUCCAAUGGGCCUUGGCUGGAGCUCCACCGGCACUGGCCUUGACACAAAACCAAUGUGAUCUCUGGACCUGCACUCAAGCGAGCCUCUGAUGGAGCAGGUUGGAGAAACCCCAGUGAACCGGUGAAAACAGAACAUGCUAGAGGCAUUUAACUGGGUACAUCAGCCCCACGCAAGGAGAGGCCAGGGAAAGGAGACACCAGGACGGGCCUGCACAGUCAAGACACGCUCCAGGGAGGAGGUGAAGCCUCCCUUUCCAGCCGCCUCUUCCUGCUGUUCUGCUUUUGCACACAAGCAGCACACCCAGUUCCAGCUCUGUUCUGUUAUCGUGGGCAACCACCAUGCUGUAAGAAGCCCAAACCAGCCCACCUGGAGAGACCAAUGGGGAAAACCGCAUGGAGAAGUACUGGGGACCCAACCUCCAGUCAGCAUCAGCCACCAGAUUUGUGAGUGAAUGAGCCUUCAGUGAUUCCAAAGCCCAGCCGUGGAUGCUUCCAGAGGAGGCCCCAGACAACACGGGGCAGAGACAAGCUCUUCCUGCUGUGCCCUGUCCGGAUUCCUGACCGGGAGAAUCUGCAAACAUAAUAAAUGGCUGUUUGAUGUGCAGCCACAAUAACUGGAA